AACGAACGCUGGCGGCAUGCCUAACACAUGCAAGUCGAACGAGACCUUCGGGUCUAUUGGCGCACGGGUGCGUAACGCGUGGGAACCUGCCCUUAGGUUCGGAAUAACUCCCCGAAAGGGGUGCUAAUACCGGAUAAUGUCUUCGCACCAAAGAUUUAUCGCCUUUGGAUGGGCCCGCGUUGGAUUAGCUAGUUGGUAGGGUAAAAGCCUACCAAGGCGACGAUCCAUAGCUGGUCUGAGAGGAUGAUCAGCCACACUGGGACUGAGACACGGCCCAGACUCCUACGGGAGGGAGCAGUGGGGAAUAUUGGACGCUGGGCGAAAGCCUGAUCCAGCAAUGCCGCGUGAGUGAUGAAGGCCUUAGGGUUGUAAAGCUCUUUUACCCGGGAUGAUAAUGACAGUACCGGGAGAAUAAGCUCCGGCUAACUACGUG
rnacentral:rRNA from 1 species